rnacentral:tRNA from 1 species
GCCCGAGUGGCGGAAUGGUAGACGCAGCGGAUUCAAAAUCCGCCGCCUUCACGGGUGUGAGAGUUCGAGUCUCUCCUCGGGCACCA